GAGACCAACAGAAUUAGGUAGCAGUGAUGUCAGUUUGGAGGCUAGGUUAUAAAGGGCAUUAUGACUUUUACCCCUCUCCCAGAUCAUUCACUCUGGGGGAACUCAGCUUCCAUGUCUUGAGAACCAUCAGACAACCCUGUGGAUUAGACCAUGCAGUGACAAACUGAAGCCUCCAGCCCACAGCUAUGUGAUUACCAUUUCAGAAGUGGAUCCUCCAGCCCUGGUCAAGCCUUUAAAUAACUGCAUUUUUGGCUGACAGCUUAAUAUUCUGAGCCAGAGCCACUCAGAGAAGCAGCUCCCAGAUUUCAGACUCUCAGGAAUUGUGUGAGAUAAUAAGCAGCCUUAACUAUCAUGGCUGUAGGUCAUGCCUGUCCAACCACAAGCCACAUUGUGCAGCCUCCUUUGCUGCGGAGUGUUUCAUGUGACUGAGCUCUUGAUACUGGAAUGCAUCAGAAGCUAUUUGUGCCCUUCUGGACUAUGCUUUCAAGGGACUAGACAUUGUGCGCCUUUCCUCCUUCUUAUGGGCCAGGAUGGUGACAAGCAGAGUGACCUUAGAAGCCACAUGUUUAGGAUGACAGAAACUCUGUUCUGCCAAGUCCCUGAAUGACCUGGAGUUCAUGGAGCUGAACCCUUCCAAGCUGGAACACCCCUCUGAACCAUUUCGUUAGAGAGAAAUAAAGCUUCUAUUAUGUUUGAAUGAUUAUAUUUUAAGGUCUAUGUUUUCCAACAAGGGAAGGUGUGACUGAACAUGAUGGCACGUUCAAGACUAGACUGAACAUGGCAGCCGAGCCCAAAAAAAGAAAAUGAGAGGAAGAGUCAGCAUCUGAAGAGAGAUGACUGAAGUUCUUCUAAUGGCGAUUACUAUGUGAAGAUGUCACAGGGCAUCAUGACAUCCACAGGAAAAAGAAAUUUCUGUCUCUGCUGGGUUGGAACUAGCCUUUUAUUUCCUUGCAUCACCUCACCUUCUCAUCCCUUCAAGCCUUUUCUUUCCUGCCUCAGUAAGUUCUCUCCUCAUUUCAUCGUCUAAGUCUAAAUUAUCUGUAUAUCCUUUUUCCACCUGGCCUAGUUUAGAGGUAAGC